UACGUAGGGGGCAAGCGUUGUCCGGAUUUAUUGGGCGUAAAGAGCGUGUAGGCGGCCAUGCAGGUCAGCUGUGAAAACUCGAGGCUCAACCUCGAGACGUCGGUUGAAACCAUCUGGCUAGAGUCCGGAAGAGGAGUGUGGAAUUCCCGGUGUAGCGGUGAAAUGCGCAGAUAUCGGGAAGAACACCCGUGGCGAAGGCGGCACUCUGGGACGGUACUGACGCUGAGACGCGAAAGCGUGGGGAGCGAACAGG
rnacentral:rRNA from 1 species